UUCUCUUACACUCAUCAGUAGUGUGUGUUCGUGACUGUGCUGGUGGGUGUGUACGCUGAUCUGUGAAAUUAUGAAUGGGGUGUGUGUGUGUGCGCGUGUAUGUGAGAGAGAGAAAAAGGGAGGGAUGGAAAGACACUGCAUCAUGAAAGGAGAAAGAUUCACUCACUCGCUGCUCACCUUCACAGACAGACAGGAGAAGGGUGGCUGCACAGCUAGAUCAGAUUGUGUUUGAGGAGACACUCCGUCUGAGCUCAAGACUAAAUCAUGGAUCAGAAGUCCACUUCACCCCAGAGACAUGCGGUGAAAAGCAGGUCGAAGUCUACAGAGGAAGUCCAGCAAGCUAAAAAGGCCUUCCACAUCCCCCAGAAAUCACUGCCUGGAGGGUCAGAGCUGGAAAAGGUGAAGGAGGGACCAGAAGAAAAUGUGACUCCAGCAUCAUCCACAGAAGAGCUAAAGUGAUGCUGCCAUUAAUCUGUGUUUCUCUCACAAACAUAAAGAAAAUGCUUGGUUUUAAAAACAAGGUUUGGUAUGGUACAGUUAAAGCAUUGGCUCCUUCUUUUGUUCUUUUCUUUUUGUUAGAUUUUCAGUACAGCUCAGCACAUGCAUAAUUAUG